rnacentral:tRNA from 1 species
AGAAAGAUAAGCUAACUAAGCUACUGGGUUCAUACCCCAUUUAUAGGGGUUUUACUCCCCUUGUUUCUA